ensembl:lncRNA
CGCUGUUGUUCUGUACCCCAGAUGCAGACUGUCAAACCAAGAAAAAACGAAGCAGAGGGAAAUACUAUACUAUACUCAUACAAAACAGUCAUGGUUGUCCGAAUGAGAAAAAAAACUGCUUAAAAAAAGAUAUGAUCAAAGAAAAUUGCGUAAUUUAGAGGUGUAAAAAAAAAUGUAAAAUAGAGUAGAAUUUCUUAUUUAUUCUUUCGAUGUGAGGACUGAGGAGAGGUCCAGGGUUGGGAAAGGGACCAGGGGAGGGCAGGGGAAGGAGUUUAGGAGAAAGGAAAUGGUGUAACACAUGUCAAGACCUUAGGCCAAUUCAACUGUACACCCUGACCCCUGCCCUGUCACAAUGGAGGGAGGUCUGAAAGCCACUGACCCAGACUUGUCCCGGAGAGAGAUUGUCCCCCCAGUACAGUACAGAUCAGGCUAGCUAGCAGGCUACAUCUCUGUCUUUUUAAUACGGAAUAGUCUUCAGACAAGCCGACCUUUGCGCUCAUGUUCAAUCAAUCUUCUUUUUCGUUUUCAGCUUUUAGUACCUUGUCUCUAUUUCUGGACGGUUUUUAAAUUCAAGGGCUAAUUCAAGUGUUUGUAAUUUGUCCUUUGAUCAUUUUUUUGUCUCCUGUUUGAUUUUCAUUGCACUUACGACUAUCGGUUGUUAUGAAGCAAAAUGUGUGUCCUUCCUCUUUCUAAGGAACAGAACAAACUAACUCCCACCGGACUCGCUGUUCCUCUGUUUAACAGGUGUGUUUUUGUGAACCGGUGUCUUGAAUCUGUUGUCCAAUCCCCCCUGGAAUGUGUUGUGUUGUCAGACUGUUACCCCCCUCUCCGCUUUCUAGCUAAUGAUGUCACAAUGGAAAAUAGCCAGUGGAACUGAGGUUCUAUCAAGCACCCUUGGCUGCACAGAGUUCUCUGAUUUUUUUAACUCUGAGAUCUACUUCCAGGCCCUUGAUCACUCAUGCUGAACCUUCCCAGGCGUCAGUGACAUCACAAGACACUCUUGGUAGUGUCCGUGCAGGGAAUCCGAUCCCACAUGCUGUAUCCGUCUGAGGUGUAUCAGCCAUCUCAACCCAGUCAGAUAAAAACAUCAACCCGAGUGUGCCAUUUGAGAUUCCGAAUUUUGUUGUGCAUAUUUUAAUAGAUAUCAGUGUUGCGACAAACAAAGAAAUCGGUUCAGAAAAUAAAUUAGUACAAAAAUCGCUGUCUCCAUAGGCAAAUUACACAACGGUAGUGGUAGACCAAGACAAGGGAGGAUUGUGAUUGGGGCAGGGCCAGAUAAUGACAUAUUACACAUACAGCCCAUCAUACCACUGCAUACUUUCUAAAUACCAAUCCCAGUGAUGCUGAUAAAGCCUGAAGUGUUUCUAGGAUUUAUAGAAAUACGUAGACGUACCUGCCCUGUUCUAAAGGAGAGGUUUGAGUUGACCUUAAUUCCGCCAUCUAUUACCCGUGUAACCCAGUUUCCUUCACCCUAUGUGCAAGCCAAGCCCCUGCAUGGCAAUGUGUGGCUCAAAGGGGAAGCCAUUUUGGAUGUCAGGGAUAAUGUCUGGUUCAUUGCUUUCUAUAACAGGGCAGGUCGCUCCCCCUGUCCAAUGUAUCCCGCUAAUACCCUCUAUGCUCCCUGCAAACGUAGAAUGGGUUAAUGGAGUAGUCAGCGGCAUAGCCUGAAAAGGACCUCGGUAUCUUGUGUCUCGCAUCGGGUAAUUUUCUGAGACUUUUAUGGUCCCAUGCAGAAAGAAAUGAAGGUCAGCAUCAGUGGUCUGCCUUGGCCAAGGCGAGGAGAAGAAUUCCAAAAGGACUUCAGAGGAGUGGAUAAUACAUUUGCCUGUGGCCUAAUAUGAGGGACAUUGGGACCAAAGUGCAUCAAUAAGAGGAGGCUGUUGAGGGGAGGACUGCUGAUAAUGAUGUCCGGAACGGUGGAAACCAUGUGUUUUGACGUAUUUGAUACCUUUCCAAUAUUCUGCUCCAGCCAUUACCACGAGCCCGUCCUCCCCAACUCAGGUGCCACCCAACCUCCUGUGGUGUCAAUGGGACUCUGGAGAGGCAGCAGCGCGAUGCCUGGAGCAAAUUUGUGGGAUCCAGAGAAGCGCUCCACUGUAGAGGGAAAUGGGCCAGCAGCACCAGUAACACAGCAGGAGUGCAGUGUCACUCUGAAACUGUGGAGAUGGGAUUAUGGUGAAGCAGCGUUGUGAAGAGGUUCGGGGGAGGUUUACACCUUGGUACAGAGACGGCGUGGAAAAACCCAGAGGCACCAAGAACUUCUUUCUCGCACUCUCUAUUUCUCUCUGAUUCUCAUUCUCUCCACCUCUUCCCCUCUCUCCAGAUCUCUCUCCAUAUCUCAAUUUAAAUUCAAAUUGCUUUAUUGGCAUGACGUUUCAAUGUCCAUAUUGCCACGCCUACUUUGCAAAUGGAUAUAUAUUUAACAAUAUUAACAUCAUAAACAAAAUGUAAUAAUAAUAAUCGGGAUUGUCAAUGAGUAUACACUGAGUAUACCAAACAUCGGGGCAUGGACUCUACAAGGUGUCGAAAGCGUUCCACAGGGAUGCUGGCCCAUGUUGACUCUACAAGCUGUCGAAAGCGUUCCACAGGGAUGCUGGCCCAUGUUGACUCUACAAGGUGUCGAAAGCGUUCCACAGGGAUGCUGGCCCAUGUUG